rnacentral:rRNA from 1 species
AUUGAACGCUAGCGGGAUGCCUUACACAUGCAAGUCGAACGGCAGCACGGACUUCGGUCUGGUGGCGAGUGGCGAACGGGUGAGUAAUGUAUCGGAACGUCCCAGUAGCGGGGAUAAUACGCGAAAGGGUAGUAAUCCGCAUACGCCCUACGGGGGAAAGCAGGGGAUCGCAAGCCUUGCACUAUUGGAGCGGCCGAUAUCGAUUAGCUAGUUGGUGGGGUAACGGCUCACCAAGGCGACGAUCCGUAGUGGUUUGAGAGGACGACCAGCCACACUGGGACUGAGACACGGCCCAGACUCCUACGGGAGGCAGCAGUGGGGAAUUUUGGACAAUGGGGGAAACCCUGAUCCAGCCAUCCCGCGUGUGCGAUGAAGGCCUUCGGGUUGUAAAGCACUUUUGGCAGGAAA